rnacentral:tRNA from 3 species
CGCGGGGUGGAGCAGUUCGGUAGCUCGCUGGGCUCAUAAUCCAGAGGUCGCAGGUUCAAAUCCUGUCCCCGCUACCA